rnacentral:rRNA from 1 species
GACGAACGCUGGCGGCGUGCUUAACACAUGCAAGUCGAACGGAAAGGCCCUGCUUUUGUGGGGUGCUCGAGUGGCGAACGGGUGGGUAACACGUGAGUAACCUGCCCUUGACUUUGGGAUAACUUCAGGAAACUGGGGCUAAUACCGGAUAGGAGCUCCUGCUGCAUGGUGGGGGUUGGAAGGUUUCGGCGGUUGGGGAUGGACUCGCGGCUUAUCAGCUUGUUGGUGGGGUAGUGGCUUACCAAGGCUUUGACGGGUAGCCGGCCUGAGAGGGUGACCGGCCACAUUGGGACUGAGAUACGGCCCAGACUCCUACGGGAGGCAGCAGUGGGGAAUAUUGCACAAUGGGCGGAAGCCUGAUGCAGCAACGCCGCGUGCGGGAUGACGGCCUUCGGGUUGUAAACCGCUUUCGCCUGUGACGAAGCGUGAGUGACGGUAAUGGGUAAAGAAGCACCGGCUAACUACGUG